ANGAAGUAACGCCUGCCCUGUGGAACCCUAAACGGCCGCGGCACAAAACCGUGCAAAGGUAGCACAAUCACUUGUCCCCUAAAUGAGGACCCGUAUGAAAGGCAACAUGAGAGAAAACCUGUCUCCUAAGGUCCGCCAGUGAAAUUGAUCUAUCAGUACAAAAGCUGAUAUAACUAAGCAAGACAAAAAGACCCUAUGGAACUUUAACAAAUUGAUUACACACAAUAAACAAUAGUUUCAGUUGGGAUAACUUUAGAAAAAAUAAACCUCUAAUAACAUCUAGACUAACUAGUCCAAACAACCACAUAUGACCCAGUAAUACUGAAUAACGAAACAAGCUACCCUAGGGAUAACAGCGCCACCUUCUCAAAGAGUCCAUAUCAACAAGAAGAUCUACGACCUCGAUGUUGGAUCAGGGUACCCAGACGGUGCAGCAGCUGUCAAAGGUUCGUUUGUUCAACGACUAACACCCU
rnacentral:rRNA from 1 species